rnacentral:rRNA from 1 species
CAGUAGCCGCGGUAAUACGAAGGGUGCAAGCGUUAAUCGGAAUUACUGGGCGUAAAGCGUGCGUAGGCGGUGAGUUAAGUCUGCUGUGAAAUCCCCGGGCUCAGCCUGGGAAUGGCAGUGGAUACUGGCUCGCUAGAGUGUGUCAGAGGAUGGUGGAAUUCCCGGUGUAGCGGUGAAAUGCGUAGAGAUCGGGAGGAACAUCAGUGGCGAAGGCGGCCAUCUGGGACAACACUGACGCUGAGGCACGAAAGCGUGGGGAGCAAACAGGAUUAGAUACCCCAGUAGUCCCUGUCUCUUAUAC